rnacentral:ncRNA from 1 species
GCGUUGAAGCGGGAGGUUGCGGAGCAUCUGCUCCGGUUUUUCCGUGGAGUAUGUCCGAUUUGAAACCGGGCGACAA